rnacentral:rRNA from 1 species
CCUACGGGUGGCAGCAGUGGGGAAUAUUGGACAAUGGGGGGAACCCUGAUCCAGCCAUGCCGCGUGUGUGAAGAAGGCCCUCGGGUUGUAAAGCACUUUCAGUGAGGAAGAACGCCUGGUGGUUAAUACCCAUCAGGAAAGACAUCACUCACAGAAGAAGCACCGGCUAACUCCGUGCCAGCAGCCGCGGUAAUACGGAGGGUGCGAGCGUUAAUCGGAAUUACUGGGCGUAAAGCGCGCGUAGGUGGCUUGAUAAGCCGGUUGUGAAAGCCCCGGGCUCAACCUGGGAACGGCAUCCGGAACUGUCAAGCUAGAGUGCAGGAGAGGAAGGUAGAAUUCCCGGUGUAGCGGUGAAACGCGUAGAGAUCGGGAGGAAUACCAGUGGCGAAGGCGGCCUUCUGGACUGACACUGACACUGAGGUGCGAAAGCGUGGGUAGCAAACAGGAUUAGAUACCCGUGUAGUC